UACGUACCGUACGAACGUUAUUCGGAAUUACUGGGCUUAAAGGGUUUGUAGGCGGCUUUGUAAGUCAGGUGUGAAAGCCCUCGGCUCAACCGAGGAAUGGCGCUUGAUACUGCAAGGCUUGAGGGAGACAGGGGUAAGCGGAACUGAUGGUGGAGCGGUGAAAUGCGUUGAUAUCAUCAGGAACACCGGUGGCGAAAGCGGCUUACUGGGUCUCUUCUGACGCUGAGGAACGAAAGCUAGGGUAGCGAACGGG
rnacentral:rRNA from 1 species